GGUUCUCUGGCUGGCGCCCCCUGGCCCCUCUGACAGAAACACAUGGUCAAAACAUCAGGACGAGCUACACCACUGGGUCAUGGAUGUCGACGACGCGUAGCUCAGUCACACCCGAGAACAGCUGAUAAAGUGGCUCGCGCUCUGCUCAAGCGGGCAAACAGAUAAACGUUCAGUGUAACAGAAGGACAGAUGAUCUCUAUGGGGAAGCCAUCUGGUGGUGACGUGACGACCCAGGAAGAGGCCUGCUGUUUACCUACCUGUGUUCCUGACAGGUCCUCCUGGUCCUCCAGCUCCAUCCUGAUUGGGUCGUGUGGCGGCAAGCCCAUGGGGUAGACUAUCAUCACCGCGCCCCUCAGCUGGUCCAGCGCCUCCUUCACCGUCUCCAUGGUAACACACACACCAGCCACCGCCUGUUUCUGAAGAGCACAAAA